AUACGGAAGGCAGCAGUGAGGAAUAUUGGUCAAUGGACGCAAGUCUGAACCAGCCAUGCCGCGUGCAGGAUGACGGUCCUAUGGAUUGUAAACUGCUUUUGUACGGGAAGAAACACUCCUACGUGUAGGAACUUGACGGUACCGUAAGAAUAAGGAUCGGCUAACUCCGUGCCAGCAGCCGCGGUAAUACGGAGGAUCCAAGCGUUAUCCGGAAUCAUUGGGUUUAAAGGGUCUGUAGGCGGUCUGGUAAGUCAGUGGUGAAAGCCCAUCGCUCAACGGUGGAACGGCCAUUGAUACUGCCAGACUUGAAUUACUGGGAAGUAACUAGAAUAUGUAGUGUAGCGGUGAAAUGCUUAGAUAUUACAUGGAAUACCAAUUGCGAAGGCAGGUUACUACCAGUUGAUUGACGCUGAUGGACGAAAGCGUGGGGAGCGAACAGGAUUAGAUACCCGGGUAGUCCC
rnacentral:rRNA from 1 species